CCGUCGCCAAAAAAAUUUCGGUCAGUGUACCAUUUUAGGGGUCAAAAAUUUUUUCCGGACAUACAAAAAUUUUCCGUGAAGCCAAAAAUUUUUCCCGAUAUCUUAAAUUUUCGCCAUUUCUUCAAAAUAUUUUUCUAAAUUCCAAAAAUUUCCCAAAAUUUUUAUAAAUAUAAACUAUAAAUUACCUGAAUCUCGUGAUUUUCCUACAAAAAGCAUCGUUGGAAAUGUGAUUUAUCACGUAUUAUUUUACAACUAAAGGGCACUUCUGCCCCCCCUGCCCCCCCUAGCAAACGGC